AGUGAACGCUGGCGGCGUGCCUAAUACAUGCAAGUCGAACGGAGUGGCGCACGGGUGAGUAUUGUAUAGCUAAUCUGCCCUACACUAGAGGCAACAAGUUGGAAACGGCUGCUAAUACACUAAAGUGUAGGAGGGGGCUAUAUUGUCUCAGCUAGUUGGUGCGGUAAUGGCUCACCAAGGGUAUGACGCAUAACUGGUCUGAGAGGAUGAUCAGUCAACCGGGAACUGAGACACGGUCCAGACUCCUACGGGAGGCAGCAGUAGGGAAUAUUGCUCAAUGGGGGAAACCCUGAAGCAGCAACGCCGCGUGAAGGAUGACACUUUUCGGAGCGUAAACUCCUUUUGUUAGGGAAGCGGUACCUAACGAAUAAGCACCGGCUAACUCCGUGCCAGCAGCCGCGGUAAUUC
rnacentral:rRNA from 1 species